rnacentral:ncRNA from 1 species
UGUCUGUAAAUGUGCACGGGCGGGCCACUUUUUAUUCAUUGCACAUUUGAGAGGAAAGUACCAUGGCAUUAACUGCAGAAGUAAAAGCAGGUAUCGUGAAAGAGUAUCAACGAGAAGA